GUUUCUUGAUAAUGCAACAUGUAAUGUUGACUUGAACUUGUCAAAUGUUAAAGUAAGAUUCUUUCAACCUGACAAGCGAAGUGCACCCUUUUGGAUAAAGGCAUCAUUCAGACAAUUAAACUUUUCUACAGGAAACAAUUAGGCCUAAUGAGAGAACACUUAUAAUUGGAUCAGAAAACUCGGGAACAGUAAAUGACUUUGCACGAAGUAUUACUAUUAUGGAUGCAGUGAGAUGGAUUUAUAUUGCAUGGAGGAAGUUUUACAAUUAACUACAGUAUUCAGAAAUGUUUUAAAAAAUCGGAACCUUAUAAAUUUCGCUGAGGAAGGAAUGCAAGAAGUCAAUAACUUUGACCUAGGAGGAGAAUUGAGUGCCCUUCCCGAAAACUAUCAUCAUGAAAUUUCAACUGAGUAUUUUGCAAAUUUAAAAACAAUUUUGUUCGUCACAAAAACGAAAAUUGUAUAGCCACUGAUUUGAUUGAAAAGAUUAUUUCCAGCUCAAUUCAUGCAGAAACUUUGCCAGAAGAAGAACAAGAUGAUCAUAAAACUACAAUUCUUCAAGAACCGGUUACCCACGACGAAUCAGCUAUUAUAGUGAAAUUGCCCGUUUUAGCCUAUUUUCCAAAGGAAAUGGAGGCUUAUAAGAUCAGGCCAAUGUUUGGCCGUCCCCUU
rnacentral:lncRNA from 1 species